UAUAAAUUUACCAUAAACAUAAAGGUUAGCAGACACCAAUGUCAAACUUGUUUUGUCAUUUUCACAGUUUUCAUUUCCAUGUACAUCUAAUAUGGUUCGACAAAAGAACUUCAUCAGCCAAGGGAAUGCCACAGUCUUCGGGGAAGAAAACAUGGCUGCAUCUGGAGAGAACUUAAAGAUCUUAAAUUAAAGAUGACUGCAAAGUAAGAAAGCCCAUAAGCUUGACAUUGAUGUCAAUAGAUGCUACAAAGUGGUUCACUUCUGCAAGAUUCUACACAUCCAUGUUCUCAACAAGAUAUUGUUCCCAAACAGUCGAUACUUACAGAUAAUUCUUACUCACUUUAAGAUCAAAACCGUCGGUGGAUACCGUAAUCCUGACAAGUAAACAAAGAUGAGAAGCUAUUUAUCAUACGUGAUAUGGAGAGUCCUUAGUUAAUCUGCACUAAUCGGAGCAAAUUAUAAGCUACAUUUGUUCGAGUGGACAGAAACCAACGCGUUUAUCUUGUAAUCUAAAAGUGCUCAGUUUAAAAAUUAUUAUAGGGCGGUUAACUGCAUUGCUUGUAAAACUUGGUUGACAAAUUAAAUAGUUGCAAAAUUUUGCCCGGAUCUUCGACUUCAAUCUGAAAAAGCCAUAUAUACAUGAACAUAAUAAUCUGCAAUUCUGUCGUGUGUGUUUCUUUUCCCAUAGUAAAAAUGUAUUCGAAUAGUAAAGCUUAAUGCGAGUGAACUCGUUUAUAUUCGAGGGUGAAGAUAGCUUACUUAUAGCCCUCUACUGCUUGAUAACCCAAGCUAAAAUAAGUCGGACUUUGCUGAUUCAAGCCGAAAUAGGUCACAGUUUGCAACUUCGA